GAUGAACGCUGGCGGCGUGCCUAAUACAUGCAAGUCGAGCGAACAGACGAGGAGCUUGCUCCUCUGACGUUAGCGGCGGACGGGUGAGUAACACGUGGAUAACCUACCUAUAAGACUGGGAUAACUUCGGGAAACCGGAGCUAAUACCGGAUAAUAUAUUGAACCGCAUGGUUCAAUAGUGAAAGACGGUUUUGCUGUCACUUAUAGAUGGAUCCGCGCCGCAUUAGCUAGUUGGUAAGGUAACGGCUUACCAAGGCAACGAUGCGUAGCCGACCUGAGAGGGUGAUCGGCCACACUGGAACUGAGACACGGUCCAGACUCCUACGGGAGGCAGCAGUAGGGAAUCUUCCGCAAUGGGCGAAAGCCUGACGGAGCAACGCCGCGUGAGUGAUGAAGGUCUUCGGAUCGUAAAACUCUGUUAUUAGGGAAGAACAAAUGUGUAAGUAACUAUGCACGUCUUGACGGUAACUAAUCAGAAAGCCACGGCUAACUACGUG
rnacentral:rRNA from 1 species